CCUACGGGAGGCAGCAGUGGGGAAUCUUGCGCAAUGGGCGAAAGCCUGACGCAGCCAUGCCGCGUGAAUGAUGAAGGUCUUAGGAUUGUAAAAUUCUUUCACCGGGGACGAUAAUGACGGUACCCGGAGAAGAAGCCCCGGCUAACUUCGUGCCAGCAGCCGCGGUAAUACGAAGGGGGCUAGCGUUGCUCGGAAUUACUGGGCGUAAAGGGAGCGUAGGCGGAUAGUUUAGUCAGAGGUGAAAGCCCAGGGCUCAACCUUGGAAUUGCCUUUGAUACUGGCUAUCUUGAGUACGGAAGAGGUAUGUGGAACUCCGAGUGUAGAGGUGAAAUUCGUAGAUAUUCGGAAGAACACCAGUGGCGAAGGCGACAUACUGGUCCGUUACUGACGCUGAGGCUCGAAAGCGUGGGGAGCAAACAGGAUUAGAUACCCUGGUAGUCCACGCUGUAAACGAUGAGUGCUAGUUGUCGGCAGCAUGCUGUCGUGACGCAGCUACGACAUAGACACUCCGCCGUCGGGAGGUACGGUCGCGAGAGUUAAACGUUAAAGGUAAAGUUAGUUACGGCGUGAGACGUGCCGACGGACGACGACGAGGGAGGAGG
rnacentral:rRNA from 1 species